rnacentral:lncRNA from 1 species
CUGCAUCAACGUGCUGCCGUCAGAUCUUCAUAAUCCAGCGAAUUGCUCUGAUCUCAGCCGUAAUGUAUUCUCGAAAUAACGUUUGCCUUUCCUUCUUCUUCAGUACUCUUCCUCUGAAUCUUCAGAACUCGGACUGAAUUUAGCUGAGACUGACGCGGUGGCUUCUCUUGAGCAAUAUAGUGUAUUUGUCUUUGGUCUCCUAGUCUGAUGACAUGAACACAAACUGAAGAAGCCAUCGGGCUGGUUGUGAUUUCUGCUGCUUCUUGAAUCCCUUUGCAGAUUGGCACAAAUUCCCCUUUCGUUGUUCAGAUUGUUCAUGUCCUAUAUAGUGUAUAUAUAUACACUAGCAGUUUGUUCUUUCCCUGUACGUGACCAUUUGUUCGAAUUGAUGUUUCCACCGAGUCUGGUUUGGUAGAUAAAUGUUUCAACCCUAUGGUUUCUUUCAUCUGCGUGGAACUUGUCAGUAACAUCCAGAAGAUGCUAAAAAUUGAGGAAGUUGAUUAUCCGUCAGA